UUCACAACAAUAUACACGUUUCGUAUGUAUCAAAAAUGUGUACGCCAUUUGAGAAAAAUAACAAAUGUACUGAGAUGCAGAAAUCUUAAAGAUGAUGAGAAAAUUGUAUGUGUUAAAAAGUUUACAGUUGCUUACACGACUUUGCGGAAAUAUUUUGCGGAGACAAGCAAAAUGAUAAGAGUAAAGAUGAUCUUCGAUUUUACUUGCAACUUUAUUAAAGUUACCGUCAUUUUGUUGUAUGCCAUCUCCUCGGAUACUAAUGUCAUCGUAAUCGUCAUAUGGGUAAUUCUGUUAGUACAUGUUUUGUUCACUUUGUUUAUUCCGCUGUUAAUCAUGGAAUAUGCCGCAAAUGAUAUUGAAGAAAUCAAACAAACUUUCGCAGAUCAACUGUUAUACU